UCGUGCUAGACGGGGAGCUAGCGGUGCCCUGUACCCGCAAUCCGCUAUAGCGGGGUCGAAGGCCCUCUCGCGGGGCUGCCCCGGUGGUACCGUGCCCAGCCAGCGGCGUGGAGGGUUGGGUCCCGCGCGGCGGAGGUCUGCGAACCCCGUCAGGUCCGGGAGGAAGCAGCGGUAAGCAGGAGCCUCUGGGUGACGCGGGAGUGCCUGGCCUGAGCCGGCUGAUGGGAAUGGGCCGUCGGUGGGGCCACAACAGAGGGGCACGA
rnacentral:SRP_RNA from 1 species